GGUCGGUUAGCUCAGCCUGUUGAGUGUGGCACUAACAAUGCCAAGGUUGCAGGUUCGAUUCCUGUUCAGUCCC
rnacentral:tRNA from 1 species